UAAAUAUAACUAAAAAUUUAGAACUAAGCAAGGAGCCAGAAAGUCCUCAUUUUGAGAGCACUGUUGCCAUCGCAGAUGAACGCGUGCGCAUUAAAACUAAAUCUGGAACUCGUCCACAAAUAAUAGGCCUACAAUUGAUCCAAGACUAAGGCCUAAAAUUAAGUGACUUCUUUGGAACCAUGAACAUCCUCUCCAAGUCUAUCUUUGUCAUCCUGUGCAACAUGGCAUUAUAUUUGGCAGUUCGGAAGACAGUUCUGGACGCUCUAGCCAGGGUCCAAGUACCAGUCUCAGAGGGCGAUCAAUGGGAGGCAUACGACCUGUACCACCAGGAUAGCCGCAGGAGCAGAGCCCAGUUACAGACCGCCACCUACCCAGGAUGUUAGCAUGUGUUGCUGGAGUGAUGUUUGGAAAGGGGUGGGGUGGGGAAUUGGGAAAGGUGGAAAAAUAAAGGGAGGGAGGCUUGGCGUCACGUGAUAUAAAUUUAUUCACCUAUCUAUCGUGUUUCUCAAUGUUGGAACACUUGAAUUUAUGGAUUGGAACAAAACGCACCAGGUUUGCCUUUGUUGUCCGAGUUAGGACAAUUAAACAUUUGUAAAACAUAUGGACUGAUUGUGUGUAUUAUUGAUGUAUAAUAAACUGAUUGACUAUUGAUGUAUAACAAAUGCAAGGCCAUGGCAUUAGAAUUUCUUGACCAUUCCAUCACACGUCAAAUAUUAAACUUUACAGUGCAUUGUACAAAAUGGUGGGGGCAUAGUCUGAAUAUUUGUAGCUCUAAUGACAAUAAAGUUUACAUCCUUGGAGCAUUAUUCUUUCAGUUAGCAGACAGAUUUUAUAAAUAAUAAGAAAAUAAGGUCAGGAGUUGGACUGGUUGCCAGAGGCUGUUUGAGACGCAUGCCAUUGGAAGCAUUUUAUAGGUAAUGAUGGACAAAGACCAUUACCACUUCCAGCGUUAACAACCUUGUGGAACAUGUGUAAGAUAAUAAAGAAAUAUAAUAUUUGAACAUGUAAUUUAUAAAAAUAAUUAUUAUUAUGUGGUAACUGUGGUAAUUUUAUAGAAAAGCAAAUGAUCAAGAAUUUAUACUCUUGCCUGUAGAACUGAAGGCUUUUGAUCUGGUAAGGUUUUAACUCCAGCAGGUCAAACUCAUUUUUAUUAGCAAAUUAAAAAAAAUUUUGAGUUUGAGAGAAUUCAUUAUUAAAACAAAGUCUGUCUGUGACAUUUUACAUCUUGAGAGACAAUCUUUACCCUUUACAACUUCUUAAAACAAAGUAUGAUGAUAUGAAUUCUAAAGGAAGAAUUGAAUAUUUACAUGCACAACAAUGAGUCAACAAAAAAAAAAGUCAUUGAAUGAAUAAAAAAAAAAGUUUUAUUUAGAACUGUACAAGUGUAACAAUUUCUAGUCAAAAUUUGGCCAUUACUUUAGACAAAGGUAUUUAGCAACUUUGUUGGCACAUUGGUUUGCACAACAUGAAAUAACAUUACCAAGGACAGCUUGGGAUAAAAAAUUGGAAUCGGAAGUGAGAGAGGCGAGGGAGGUAAUGAGAGAAGAAAUGAGGGAGGUGAAGGAAAUGUAGAGGGAGGAAUGAUAAAAAAUGGAAAGAUAAAGAGCUGAAAGAGAGUGAGAAAAUCCCUCAUAAUUUAUAUUUAUAACACAUCAGCAGGUGCCAUAUUAGGACAGUCCUACAAAAUUAAUCACCCAUGUAAACAAAUCACCCAGUGAACACAUCUUGUCUACUUUGUUUAAAUACCUUUUGUUUAGGAAGCCAGAUUUCCAUUUGCAGGUUAUCUAUCCUGACUAGAAAAAUAUAUAAUUUUCUACUGUUUUCAACAAGCUGUCAAAGUCUAAUGUAGUUUCAAAUACAGGUUAGUGACAACUGCAGCAGUUUAUUUCAGAUGAGAAACCAAUCUAGCAUAUCAUUAACUGGCCAUACCAUUCACUAGUAUCAUGUUAAUCACUCAAAUAAUGAAGUUUUUGUUCAUUCACCAUAUCAGUGACUCAAUAUUUUUUUUUGGUGGGGGGGGGGGGGGGGGGGAGGAGGGGGAGAAUUUAUCUUCACUGUGGAAAGGCAUUUGGAGGGGGCAGGAUAACCUCCCAUUACAGGCCAUUUUUAGGCGUCUCUACCUUAGAGCAUAAAUAACUACAAUUUAAUAGUAGAGCCUCUUCAAAAAAACAAACUCAGAUAAUAAUGACAUUUUUAUUCACACCAGACAAAGUUUCAGAUUUGUCCUCCACUGUUGAUGUCCCUAAUCUUCUGAUAGAAAGUUGACACUUGGUUCAAAAAUGUUUGUUUGUGUACAAGAGAAACAAUGAGGUAGACAAUUUUGUUGAUGACAGAUCGCACUAAAAAUUAAAAGUCAAAGAAAGUUGAAGGUCUCUAGUCUUCAUGUGGAUUGGUUUCUCUAUGCCCUAGUCAGUACUUAAGAUUACAUCUCUGAGUAAGUAUAGUGCAAAUACAACAUAUUUAUGAAGAAAAUAUUGCUAUUAUAGAUCUUAGUAAUAUAUAAAUAUAAGAAUAAAGCUCUGGGAUAGUCUGAAUAUUAUUUACAAAGCUUUCAACAUUGUGUUUCAUCACUAUAUAAUGGUUGCCUGCUUGCAGUGCAAGGGAAGUAAUGAAUCAAAGAA